UGCAGCUUGAACUCCUCGACUCGCUGAUUCGCUUUUUCCUCCGAGACCUCCAGAGACUUCAAUAUAUUCCCGACGAUGAACAGCUCAUCCUCACGCUCGACAAUUUUCCUGGGAAAUUAGGGGAUUGAGAAAGUGUAGAUUUAGCGUUGAGGCCAUUGACUUACGCAUCGCUGCUCCUGAUUCUGUCCUCGGCGGUUUCGAGCUCGUCCUCAACGAAGGCCAGACGACGGGAUAUCUCAUCGGAUUUGGCGUCAGCGUCUUCGGCGAUCAAUCGGGCUUCCUUCAGCUGCGUUGUCAACUGGUCCAUUCGUUCGUCGUCUUGUUUACUGCGGGUCUCCAGAACUUUGCAGAUUCUGGACGAUGAGGAGAUUCAGGGACAAUUCUGAGGGAAAAAUCAUUUGGACUCUUGCCAAAUUAUUUGAUGUGUCGGAAAAUUUUAUCAUAAAUUUCGGAAAAUUCUGGAAUCAAUUUUUUUCAAUUUAUUGCAGGAAAAAUUCAAGAAUUCAAAGAAUUAUUUUUCAAAAUUGGGAUAAAUUAUGAGGAACGCUUUAAUUAAGAAGAAAAUAUGUUUAUAAUGUGGGUCAAUUUCAUAAACUUAACGAUGUGACACAUUCUAUUAAUUAUUAAUUUAUGAAGUAGGUCAAUGAUUAAAUAAAUAACGAAAUAAAAUUUCCUCGGUUGUGAGCAUUUAUUGAAAACACAAAUUCCAUAUACAUUAAAAAUAUCGAGGAGGAAUAAAUGGCAGGAAGUAAUUAAAUUGUUCAUUAAUCGAUUAUGAACGCGAGACAUGUUUCAUUGAUUAAUUUUUCAUCUGAAAAAAAUUAAUUAGCCCUCAGUGAGAUAUCUUAGGAAUCCAAAUAAUUCUAUGCAACGAAAGAAAGCCUCCCCGUAGCUGCAGUAAUGCGUGCGUUGUUGUGCAAGUGCAACUGUGUUCAAUUCAAUCCAAAGAAGUGGCUCAGUCAAUUUGCAGUUACGAGACAAUCUAUACGCGUACCCACGGGUUAUUUUUGAAAGAGUUUAAAAGGCCGGAUUAAAAGUACUCAGCGGUAGAUUGCGUGCACUCGAUCAAAAGCCAAUAAGUGCACAAACUGAAAUCAGGUGUAAAGCUGAUGGCAAUGGUGAUGGCGAUGAGGAUGAGGAUGACGAUGAUGACGAUGACGAUGAUGGAGUUUAUUGAUUUUAUUUUGCACACACGGAGAGAAAUAUUUUGGAAAAAAUUCUGAAACUGUAAAAUUUCAAUUCUGACUCAUAAUUUCCCUUCAGUGCGACAUCGCUCGCCGAUUAGGUCUGGAACGGUAAUUUUUACGCCUCUCGUCUGGCACUUUUUAUUGAAUAUUUCUCUCCGGGUGCA